GGGAUAGAAUUCCAGGAGUAGCGGUGAAAUGCGUAGAUAUCUGGAGGAAUACCAAAGGCGAAGGCAGUCCCCUGGUCCGAUACUGACACUGAGGUACGAAAGCGUGGGGAGCAAACAGGAUUAGAUACCCUGGUAGUCCACGCCCUAAACGAUGUCGAUUAGCCAUUGGAAGGACCCCUUUUCCUUUCAGUGACGUAGCUAACGUGUUAAAUCGACCGCCUGGGAAGUACGACCGCAAGGUUAAAACUCAAAGGAAUUGACGGGGACCUGAACAAGCGGUGAAUGAUGUGGAUUAAUUCGAUGCUACGCGAAGAACCUUACCUACCUUUGACAUGGCCAAAGUUCUACCGAGAGGCGGAAGUACUCGUAAGAGGAUUGGCGCACAGGUGCUGCAUGGUUGUCGUCAGUUCGUGUCGUGAGAUGUUGGGUUCAGUCCCGCAACGAACGCAACCCUUAUCUUUAAUUGCUCCUAUUUUAACAGGCACUUUAAAGAAACUGCCAAUGAUAAGUUGGAGGAAGGUGGGGAUCACGUCAAGUCCGCAUGGCCUUUAUAGGUAGGGCUUCACACGUCAUACAAUGGUUAGAACAAAGAGCUGCAAAUUCGUAAGAAGGAGCCAAUCUCACAAACCUAACCUCAGUUCGAAUUGCGGUCUGCAACUCGAGCGCAUGAAGCCGGAAUCGCUAGUAAUCGUGGAUCAGAAUGCCACGGUGAAUACGUUCUUAGGUCUU
rnacentral:rRNA from 1 species